CUAUUUGCUCACAUUUCCAUCCGAUUUUUUAUUGUACCUAUUCGCGAUCUUAUCACUAAUUUUAUAGGGCGUAAUAAAAAACGGAACGCGUGGUGUGCCUCCGGAGAAACGUCACUGUAUAACAGCGUGGCGCUGGGCGCGAUUUCACUCGGGACACAGCAGAAGCUCCCGCGAGAUGCGUCACGGGAAGCGGCUCUUAAAAGCGAGCACGCGUGUAAGGGGCAUGGAAACCGUCCUCUCCGCCUUGAAGGAUUUAACCGUUCUGGAUGGAUUUUUUCACCUUGGAGUAACACACAGGGGGGUAUUACAGUAAGCUGUAUAUCCCCUAGUAAUAUUCAGACUACCCGGUGGCCUAUAUCUCUCUGAGGGUUCUUGUAACGGGUUUCUGUCUAUAAGGCUGUGCUUUCUUCUCGCACUAGCCGGUAAAUGUGAUCUGUGGAAUUAUAACGGCGCACGCAACCUCCUCGGUGUGCACACUGACUGGACAUUCGCUUGGAUUGCUUGCUGACUGGAGGUCGCCGAGACACGGGACUAGUUUCUAUGACAAAGAGCCGAGGGGCAUCCGCGUGUCGCUAACGGUUAAUUAAAUCUCCUGUGGCAAAAAAAGAGGGGUUGAUGGUCUGGGCGAUCCCCGCGUGUAAACGUCCCAAAUUUGUGAUUUUGUAAUGAUCCCUCCGGUUUUUGAAGACUUACAUAGCGCAUUAUCAUGGUCCUCGCUUUCGGGGACUCAUUAUAAAAUUGUGAAAGGAGAAAAGUAACCAGGACUGCAAUCAAGGAACCGAGGAUCGGGCUCUAUAAUUUAGAGAACUAUUUUGGACUUACUUGGCGAACAGCAACAAUGGGCACAACGCUACAAGUUAUUUUCGGCAUGUUUCACUUCGUCUCACUCGCCGGAAUGCCAACGCACUGUGCCAGGGCACCGCUCGCUCAAUGGCAGCCCAAUCAGAGUCACGAAUCAGGACAAGUGGUUAGAUGGAUGGAUGUGUACGAAAGGAGCAGCUGCCAGCCGAGAGAGACGUUGGUGGAGGUGUGGCAGGAGUUCCCGUGGGAGACGCAUCACCUCUUCCUGCCAUCGUGUGUGUCAGUGAAGCGUUGUGGUGGCUGCUGCGGUGACGAGGCUCUUCAAUGUGUGCCCUCACACACGGAUACGCUCACCAUGGAGCUUAUGAAAACUACAUACAUGAAGCACGAACUUGUGCAGUUGCCCUUCGUAGAACAUAGGCAGUGUGAGUGCAGGCCAAAAGCAGAUCUUCACACGGAGCCAACCAGGCAAGAUCCACGACCGACGCGGAAAGGGAGGAAAAGGGAGAGGGGAAAACCAAAGCGAAAGAAACAUGUUAGGAUAAAACCGCCCAAGUAUCCAGCAUCUCAACUCUACAUCUCAUCUUACUUACUCCAGCACCUACAACACCUGCACCUCCUGCUCUCCCAACUAGCAUUUUCCCUUCUCGCCUUGCCGAAGAGCAAUGUCCGCCCUGCCCGAUGCGCAGAAUGACAUCACAGCCACCUACGUGCGAGUGUAUAUGCAGCCUAAGGGAGGUGAGCUGCACCAAGAGAGGCAAAAGGCUCAACCAGCACAGAUGCAGAUGUGAGGCCAUAAGAGUAUAAUGAAACGAGGGGUCCUUCCUUCCUUCCCUUGUUACAAGCACUGUAACUUCAACAUCCAUCUUUCGAGACAGUGUCUUUAUCGUGGAGUUGUAGAGCAGGAGUCACCUCAACAAGAGUAGCAGAACCUCCUGCCUCCCUGCUACACACCUCUUCACAUUUAGUGCAGUAUUAGAUGCAUGUAAUCAGCUCGGUAUCCGUGUCCCAGUAUUGGUGUGUGUAUACCGUGUGUCUCCAGAUUCUCAUCACUAAACCCCCUGAAGCAUCAUGCUGCAAUGGGCUGGAUAGCCAAUCAUGCAUUGUGGCACAAGCUGCUUGUGGAGUCACAGGAAAAGCAUGUUGCAUUCAAGUGGACUGGAUUGUUGUGCUAAUCCGUGCUACUACUCAAAAUCUAAUAAUAGAGCUAAUAGAUCCAUCACCCCCACAAGACAUUUGAAAAAAUGUCACUGGUUGGCAAGGCUUCACUCAUGUGACUGUUUGACUCAUCUGGAAGCUGGAAUUAUUGAUGUUUAAAUAACUGGGGUCAUCUUUUUUUCUUUUUUUUUUAAAGAAACCCCAAAACUUUGCCAAAAAAAAAUCCCAAUGUCCUAAAGUAGGUUGCAGGACGUUCAAUCGUUAGGACGUUUUCCAUCUGUUCUGGGCAUAUCCAUGUGCUGUGACUGAUAGAGAGACUGGUAUUGAGAUGUACUGAAUGGAUGGAUGGGCGUCUGUGUGGUCUGAGUAUAGAAAGAUAAGGAUCUCUGUGACAGGCCUGAUUUAUUCUCAGCCUCCAUAAGCCCAUCACGUGGCCUCCAGGACUGUAUCAAUGAGUCUUAUUGUGUUUGUUUGAUUUGCUUUUUGUCUGGCGCUUUCCUUUGGGAAUAAAUGAGACUUUCCCUCAGGCCAGUCAGUGAGGGGAAUGUCAAUAGUAAAGAAA